UACGGGGGGAGCAAGCGUUGUUCGGAUUUACUGGGCGUAAAGGGCGCGUAGGCGGCCAGCACAAGUCAGUUGUGAAAUCUCCGAGCUUAACUCGGAAAGGUCAACUGAUACUGUGCGGCUAGAGUGCGGAAGGGGCAACUGGAAUUCUUGGUGUAGCGGUGAAAUGCGUAGAUAUCAAGAGGAACACCUACGGCGAAGGCGGGUUGCUGGGCCGACACUGACGCUGAGGCGCGAAAGCCAGGGGAGCGAACGGG
rnacentral:rRNA from 1 species